AGGCAUGUGGUGUAAUGGUAAGAUCCCGACUCCUAAGAUGGUGAUGCUGGUUCGACCCCAGCCAUGUCUA